rnacentral:pre_miRNA from 15 species
CCCCCUCCCUUCGUGGACCCCGGGGGGAUGCAGCAGCAAUUCAUGUUUUGGAGUGUUGUACAAAGUUCAAAACGUGAAGCGCUGCUACACCCCCUCGCGGGAAAAGUAGGAGGAGGGGU